rnacentral:rRNA from 1 species
GAGUUUGAUCAUGGCUCAGGAUGAACGCUAGCGGCAGGCUUAACACAUGCAAGUCGAGGGGUAUUCUAGCAAUAGGAGAGACCGGCGCACGGGUGCGUAACGCGUAUGCAAUCUACCUUUCACAGAGGGAUAGCCCAGAGAAAUUUGGAUUAAUACCUCAUAGUAUUAUGGAAUGGCAUCAUUUUAUAAUUAAAGUCACAACGGUGAAAGAUGAGCAUGCGUCCCAUUAGCUAGUUGGUAAGGUAACGGCUUACCAAGGCGACGAUGGGUAGGGGUCCUGAGAGGGAGAUCCCCCACACUGGUACUGAGACACGGACCAGACUCCUACGGGAGGCAGCAGUGAGGAAUAUUGGACAAUGGGCGCAAGCCUGAUCCAGCCAUGCCGCGUGCAGGAUGACGGUCCUAUGGAUUGUAAACUGCUUUUGCACAGGAAAAAACACCCCCUCGUGAGGGGGCUUGACGGUACUGUGAGAAUAAGGAUCGG